rnacentral:rRNA from 1 species
UACGGAGGGUGCAAGCGUUAAUCGGAAUUACUGGGCGUAAAGCGCACGUAGGUGGUUUGCUAAGUCAGCUGUGAAAUCCCCGGGCUUAACCUGGGCACUGCAGUUGAAACUGGCAAGCUAGUAGGGUAGAGGGGUGUGGAAUUCCAGGUGUAGCGGUGAAAUGCGUAGAUAUCUGGAGGAACAUCAGUGGCGAAGGCGACACCCUGGACUCAUACUGACACUGAGGUGCGAAAGCGUGGGGAGCAAACAGG